rnacentral:hammerhead_ribozyme from 1 species
GUCCAGCUGACGAGUCCUGAAUAGGACGAAACGCGCGUCCUGGAU